rnacentral:lncRNA from 1 species
GGUCUACCUUUGGGCACUUCCUUCAAGUCUUUUCUCGUCUAGGAUGUAGUAGAGGAAAGAUUUUAGAAAAGACUCGCUAUGUGGAAAAGACAAUACUUAUUGAAAGGAGGGAGAUUGACUUUAGUUAAGAGACUUUAUCUAGUCUACCAAUCUACUAUAUGUCUUUAUUUGUAAUCCCAUGUAACGUGAGCCUUAGAGUGGAGAAGCUUCAAAGAGAUUUCCUUUGUUGGGGGGGGGGGGGGGGGAGGGAGAUUGACUUUAGUUAAGAGACUUUAUCUAGUCUACCAAUCUACUAUAUGUCUUUAUUUGUAAUCCCAUGUAAUGUGAGCCUUAGAUUGGAGAAGCUUCAAAGAGAUUUCCUUUGGGUGGGGGGC